AGUAUUUGUCUUACCUGAUAGGUGUAGAGUUUGACGUAGACGAUAGGCAUGCGUUGGUUGAGUUUGUUGUAGUGUUUGAUAACGCGGUGUACUGUCUCCGGAACGUAUUCGAGGACCAGGUUGAGGUAAAGCUCGUCUUUCUCGGUUGUUGAGAAGAAGCAGUGUUUUAGAGAGACAACGUUUGGAUGGUCGAGGAGUCUCAUUGUUUGUAGCUCACGGUUCUUGUACCUACGGUCUUGCAACACUUUCUUUAUCGCUACGGUUUCUCCUGUCUCUAAGCAUUUCGCCUGAGGAAAAAAAAUGAUCAUGUCAGUGACAAAGGCACAAGAGAGAGGAACAAAAAAAAAAACUGAAAACUCACUUGGAAGACAACGCCGAAGGAGCCGUGUCCAACAACACGCUCUGCCAUGUAACUGAUUGUCUGCAAUUUAAAGGAAAAAUCAAUUAGCUAUUAAAAAUAAAAUCAAAUAGAAUGAAGUAAUAAAUGAUCAAGAAGUGUAACAAAACCUGCUUUGGUUGGCCGUUUCUUCCACCUAUGGUUGUUACUAUUAUGUGACCAGUCUCUGUGACAUUGCCGUUUACUAUUGUAGCUUCCAUUUCCUGGUGAGAUCAUCAAUCAACCAAGUCAGUUAACAAAAAAAAUAAUAAUAAUAAAUGGAAGCCACAAUAGAAAAGAGGCAAUACUUUAUCAUCUUGAAUUUUCAUGUGAUUCAUCUCUUCAGGUAACCUGUCAACGUCAGUAGCAGCGUUUGCAGUAGAGUCUCUAACCGCGGCACUAGGCUCUACGCCCACCGUGGCCAUAUCUGGAACAGAAGAAUUUGUUUUUUUUUUUUUAAAUAUAAAGAUUCUUGCUUUGUCACUCUUUCAAAUCUCAACCCUGCAGCAAAAAAAGUGAUGGGGUUCCAUAAAACCAUAUCUGUAAUUACAGUUGCUUGGUCUUUAGUUUUAAAUGAAGUAAUCUCAAGACUACUCAACAAAACAAAUCUCAAGACUUAUAUGGAUGCUAUGAACAUGCAAAGUUUUGAUUUUUAACAGAGAAACUGGAAACAACCAUCACCUAAACAAAGCAAGAGCUAGCAAAAAGAAAAGUAUAGAACCCUAAUAAAGAAAAAAAAUGUGGGAAAAGUGAUAGAUCCAUAAACAUACCAAACAAGAUAGCAAAUUUCAAUUCAAAACAAGAUAAUUUAAAACUCAGACAAUCUAAAUAGUAUAAUGUGAAGAUGAUUUAUGAAAAGCUAAAAUCAUGAACUUUUUAGGUGGGAAACUUAAAAAAGAUCCAGAAGAAUUUUAGAUGAGAAACAUAAAAGGAAGAGAUAGAAACGUACCCAAGAAAGUUUGAGAUUGAAGAAAACAAAGAGAUUGGAGGAUAGAAUCAAGAAGAGAUGAUUAGAUCCAUAGGAAGGAAGAUGGUUUGAUGAUGAAUGUCUUUCUCUAUCUCUCUCUCCUCUUUCUGUGUCUCUUCCUUUUUUGGAUUUUGGUGUGAUGAAUAAUAAUAGUUUUGUAAGAAUAAAAAUGCUGAAGCUCUCUGUGGCUGUGCUUUUUGAUGAGAGAAGCAUAUGCUAUAAUGCGCUGGUGACAGUCAUAUCUUAAAAAAUGAAAAUCCAGAAAAUCUAUUACAAUAAAAGAUAGUCUUUUUUGGAGUUAGUAAAGUGAAAGAAAGUACAUUGGGUUUGGUUUUUCCUCUUUUUUAGUUUUUGACCAUUCGAACUUUGUUUACCCCACUCUCUGUAUUUAUAUCCUUUAACCUUGAUGAAUCCAUCUUCUCUGUUUUUUAUUUAAUUUGUGAUUUGUUGGACUGACAUACUAACAAGAAACAAUCUCAAAACAAUGCUGGAUUUAGUGUAAAAAAUCAGGAUUUAUUCUACUUAACUCAAUUUGCAUUCAAUUAGUGGCACAUACAAAAUUACUUUUAUUAGAUAAUAAAAUAUUAUAAUUUCUCCUUUUUAGUAGCUACAUUCUGAGAACCAUUUAUUUCCCAACUUUUUUAAAAAAGGAGUCAAACUCAUAAUGUCAAAGUUGAUAAAGCUAAAUGGACUAAUUUGCACUGAUUCAUUUAUGAUUUUUUCUACUAUUUCUUUGACAGACGUCCAAUAACUAUUUCCUGAAUGUCAUACAAACAAAAUUAAAAAUUGAAAGAGUAUCUAGAUCAACAACCAACAGCCAUAAAAUAUAAUGACAUUUUCCAGCCAAGUGUAUAAGUUUUUAUAAUUUUUUCUUAAAUUUAAUCGAAGAACCGAAUAUCAUAAUACUCCCUCCAUGCCGAAGAAGAAAACGCCGGCGGAGGAGGUGAUGAAGCGGCAGCUGCAGUGUAGUAGGUGCAAGGGACUUGGGCAUAACAAGUCGACUUGUAAAGAAUAUCUUCUUGAAUGUUAGUUGUUUAUGUAUCGUUCGUUUUCAUUAUGUUUAAUUAACUUUCAUCAACUUUUUAUGAUCAAUCUGUAAGAAAGGAGGAUUGGUUUUUUUACUUUAAAACACUUUUGUAUUUUAGUUUCAUUCAAUAAAAUUUCUUGCCAAAGUUCUUUGUUUCAGUGCUAAGGAUAGUCUUAGAGAAACACAUAACAAAUAGAAAUGGAUUCGAAUUUACAAUGUUUCUUUUUUUAAUUUAUUGCCAUCCGACUCACAUUUAAGGUAUAAACUAUUUUUCUUUGAUAAUUGUAGAAACUUGGGAAAAUUGUUUUUUCAGAGCAAGAAAAUGAUAAUUAGGUUCCUUUAGACUAAUCUCAUAUACUUUAUGUCCCAUUAGGCUAAUUAUUUUCAAAAUGGCAAUAAUGCUCUUAAAAUUGUAAUAUUGUAAUUUUUAUAUAUAAUAAAUAAUGGGUUCGAUCAAGCGGGAUCGAUCGAUCCGAAAUUACAAGGUCAAACGGAUUGAUCGAUCCUGAUCAUUAUGCAAAACAAAAAAACGCGGAGCAUAUACUGAUCGACCUGGUCCAUUUAACUCUAUCGGCAAAGGUCGAUUUCAUACAGAUCGACCGAUCUCGAAUUAUAGACUGAUCGAUCUGUGGAAGCAUAGAUAUGAAUCAUGGUAGAAAUAAUGUGAAACUUUUGUGAAAAUUUUGUAAACAAUCAAUGGAAUAUAGAAAACGGCGUGAGAAGAAGGUUACCACUUUUUUUUUGUUUUUUUUUUAAAUCGAUUUUUUCAAAGUAUGAAAGUGAAUAUUCCCAAAUAUUUUGUUUUCAUAUUUUCAGGAACUGAUUUCUUAUCUGUAGAAUACAUCUAAUAUGUAUAAAUCGGUUUCUACAUGUUUUUAUAAUUAUAGUAAUGUGUAGAUUUUGAUUUUACAUGUUUUAGAUUUACAGUAAAUCUGUAGAAGUCGGUUUUUACGUGUUUUAGAUUUAUAUUAAUGUGUAGAUUUUGAUUUCUAAAGAUUUUAGAUCGGUAGGUUAAGCGCGGAAUGUGUAUUCUAAAUAUUUUUAGAAUACUCUUAUUUAUGUAGAUCACGUAUUCUAAACAUUGUAGAUUCAAUGAAAAAAGUGGAUUUCGUUUUCUACUUCGUAGAAUGUCAUUUCUACUUUAUUUAGAACAGAAUCUGAAAAUUAUGAUUUAAACAUUUUUAGAACUGAAAAAAAUACCACUAAGUUCAUAUAGGUAUUUUAUCAAUAGUUACUAUUUUUCCAAUUUUUUCUUGUUUGUAAAACUAUUUAUUAAAUUUAUUUUCAAAAAUAUUAAAAAGUAUUAUAAGCAAAAAUGCCACAAAAUAGAUAUUAAUAUAAAAAGAUAUAGUUAUCAUUUUUUUGCUAUAAAAAACAUUUUUUCCUAGAAACUUUCACCGACCUUUAUUCACUUCAAUUUUCACUUUUCAUGGAUUUUUAUUUUAUGUUUGUAGAGAAUGAGAUCGUAAACUCCAAACUCUCGAAACUAGAAAGAGAGAAAGAAGAGAGAGAAACUAUAUCUACUUUGGGACCAGCGUACGGCCGGCGCGUGAGCGCCUGUGCCGUCGUCGGAGCCCUUCUCUUUCGCCGAAGUUGUUCCUCUUAGCCUCUUCUCCGUCGUCCUGUCAACGACCGCCUUGUCCGAGCUCUGGUACCGCAACCAUCUCUAUCGGUGGCUCGGCUCUUGGAGUAAUGACGCGCUCGAUUGGAGGUCCACGGUGGAGAGGGAGCGCCUUGCAUGCUCAAUUGUGGUGUUUUUCCGGGAGAUGGAAGCUAAUCUAGAUCCGUCUUCGUCGGUUUUAUGCGAGAGGUGGAGGCUUGCUCAGAUUCACCGUCGCCGACUUUAGCUUCCAGGAAGGGGAGUCUCCUUCAGCUCCGCCUUCGCCAGCUUUAAGUUACGGAGAGUGGAGGCUUGCAAAGCUCCGCGCUGCCGCUUAGAAACCCGGUGUCUUUUGGGUUAAGGUUACUAGUUCGAUUUGUGUCAAGUUCUGUGAGGUUGCCGUUAAGGUGGGUGUUUGGGUGGGUCACUGCGGAUGAGAUAUCGUUAGACGAUGAAGCUCUCCGGCGAUGGUGACGACUUUCACGGGAAGAAAGCAGUGGUUCUCGGUUCGAUUGUCUAGGGUUUGAAGUGAUUCAAAGUCGGUGGAGAUCUCGGUGAUCGAUGGAACUCGCCGGCGUGAAGACAGUGCGGUGAAGAACGGUUAUGGAUUUGUUGGAGCUUGUCUGUUUCCAAGCUCCGACGAACACAGGUUUACAUGGUGAUGCUACGGCGGCGUAGAGGCGGAGGCAGUUAAGUUGAGACGGUUGCGACGCGUGUCGCGUGAACGGAGCAUAUCUCUCCACGUAUCUAGCCUCCUUGACUUGCUAUCCGACCAGGUCGUCCGUUUUAUGGGUCUGGGCCGAGGGCUCAUUUAGUCUUUUGUUUAGCCCGUAGUCUCUUGAGCUUUAAGCCAUUUUUUGUUGUAUUCGGGCUUCAGCCGAUUACUGGGCUUGGCCCGUUUAUUUAAUAUAAAAAAAAAACAUUGACGGAAAAAAAAAAAAAAACUCCAAACUCUCUUACAAAAUUAUUAAAAACUUUGUUGACUUUUACAAGAUCAUAACCCCCACAAUGAUUCACUCUUUUCUCUACUCACUACAACAAACAAGGGGUUAUAUAAUCAUCAUAUUGAGAUUGAAUAAUAGUAACAAAACUGAGAAGGCAGAGAGAGAGAUGUGAAUUUCUCAGACUGUUCCCUCUAGUUUUUGUGUUUUUAACAGUAGAUAAAUCACAAACCGAGCCAGGGACACUGCUUCCUUGCAUGUUCGGGUACUAACUUAGCCACCAUCUCCACAGGCACACCUUUAAGCUCUGUUUUCACCCAACACAUUAAGAAAACAUGAGUUUAAUUCACUUUAUCUUUAUGUAAAGACAAGGGCGAAUGGGAAGUAAGUAAGUACCAUGAGGCUUGAAGUUGAACAGUGGAGGAAAGAAACGUCCAUUAGGCAACCUUGCAUUCGGAUCUCUAAGCUCGUCAAAGAACGGGUGGACCAAUGCAUCAAGCUAAUUUGGCAAGAUCACAAAAGUUUCAACAAAAAUAAGAUAAAGAGAACUAGUGAUUUUGCAAGGAAAGUGAGAGAAGUUGCAAAAAUACUCACAGCACCGCAACGGAGACUAGGAGAGUAUUGAAGAAGCCUUGAGACCAGAUCAACGGCUUCUGGAGGCAUCCUCUUGUGGAAAAUCUGGAAUUUUUUAAAUGACAAAAAAUGUUUCUGUUAACAACUACUCAAAAGAAGACACUGAACUUGUUAAACUUGAUGGUUUCUUACUACCUUAUGCCAUGGAUGAGCUUUAAUCUGAGGGAACUUGAACUCAGUGUAGUUGGGGUUCAUGCAUUUGAUCUCUUCCCUUGUUGGUGUUCCCAAUACCUUAAUAAUCUCUACAAGUUGAUCAACGCCACUCUCACCAGGGAACAGUGGCUGCCAUGAACAAAAACAACAGUUUAGGAUUUGAAACAGAGCAAAAACAGAGCAAAAACAGAGCAAAACAGAGCAAAAACAGAGCAAAAACAGAGCAAAACAGAGCAAAAAAAAUGACAUUACCUGACCAAGAAGAAGCUCUGCCAUAACACAUCCUGCAGACCAGACAUCAAUGGCUGUAGUAUACUCCGUAGCUCCAAAAAUAAGCUCAGGUGCUCUAUAAUACCUAGAGCAAAUAUACGAAAUGUUUGGCUCUCCUUUGACCUGUUUCAAGAAUCAAACAUUGACCAACAAAUGGUUUGAGCUUAUCUGCUUUCAAAGAGAGUAUUAUCAUCAACAACAAAAACUCACCAAUACUUUAGCACUUCCAAAAUCACACAGCUUCACUUGAUGAGUGUGUGGGUUCACCAACAAGUUCUGAGGCUUUAUGUCACGAUGACACACGCCUAUACAUCUGUGAAUGUAACAUAACGACCUGAAAAUCUACCCAAAAAAACAUAGAAAAAGAGUUAAUAAAAACAUAGACAAAUCCAAAAAAAACUAGUAUUUGUCUUACCUGAUAGGUGUAGAGUUUGACGUAGACGAUAGGCAUGCGUUGGUUGAGUUUGUUGUAGUGUUUGAUAACGCGGUGUACUGUCUCCGGAACGUAUUCGAGGACCAGGUUGAGGUAAAGCUCGUCUUUCUCGGUUGUUGAGAAGAAGCAGUGUUUUAGAGAGACAACGUUUGGAUGGUCGAGGAGUCUCAUUGUUUGUAGCUCACGGUUCUUGUACCUACGGUCUUGCAACACUUUCUUUAUCGCUACGGUUUCUCC
rnacentral:lncRNA from 1 species